rnacentral:rRNA from 1 species
GAAGACUUGGCCUUGGUUGUUUGUGCCCCUUGAAAAAAAAAUGACGGGGGAACUGCCCGAGGUUGGCCCAUAACUACUGGAAACGGUAGCUAAUGCCGCAUAACGUCGCAAGACCAAAGUGGGGGACCUUCGGGCCUCACACCAUCGUAUGUGCCCAGAUGGGAUUAGCUAGUAGGUGGGGUAAUGGCUCACCUAGGCGACGAUCCCUAGCUGGUCUGAGAGGAUGACCAGCCACACUGGAACUGAGACACGGUCCAGACUCCUACGGGAGGCAGCAGUGGGGAAUAUUGCACAAUGGGCGCAAGCUUGAUGCAGCGAUGCCGCGUGUAUGAUAGAAGGCCUUCGGGGUGUAAAGUACUUUCAGCGGGGGGGAGGGCGGUGAGGUUAAUAACCUCGCCGAUUGACGUUACCCGCAGAAGAAGCACCGGCUAACUCCGUGCCAGCAGCCGGGGUAAUACGGAGGGUGCAAGCGUUAAUCGGAAUUACUGGGCGUAAAGCGCACGCCGGGGGUUUGUUAAGUCAGAUGUGAAUCCCCCGGGCUUAACCUGGGAACUGCAUUUUGAAAACUGGCAGGCUUUGAGUCUCGUAGAGGGGGGUUAAAAUCCCCAGGUGUAGCGGGUGAAAAUGCUUAAAGGUCUGGAAGGAAUACCGGUGGCAAAGCGCCCCCCCUGGACGAAGAACUGACGCUCAGGUCCAAAGCGUGGGGAGCCAAACAGGAUUAGAUACCCUGACGUCCACCCCGUAAACGAUGUCACUUGAGGUUGGCCCCCUGAAGCGUGCUUUCCGGGAGCAACGCGUUAAGCCCGCCCGCCGGGGGAGUAACGCCCCGAAGGUAUAAAAACUCAAAAUAAUUCGACGGGGCGCCCCG